ACACUCCUGCGGGAGGCAGCAGUGGGGAAUAUUGCACAAUGGGCGCAAGCCUGAUGCAGCCAUGCCGCGUGUAUGAAGAAGGCCUUCGGGUUGUAAAGUACUUUCAGCGGGGAGGAAGGCGAUAAGGUUAAUAACCUUGUUGAUUGACGUUACCCGCAGAAGAAGCACCGGCUAACUCCGUGCCAGCAGCCGCGGUAAUACGGAGGGUGCAAGCGUUAAUCGGAAUUACUGGGCGUAAAGCGCACGCAGGCGGUCUGUCAAGUCGGAUGUGAAAUCCCCGGGCUCAACCUGGGAACUGCAUUCGAAACUGGCAGGCUAGAGUCUUGUAGAGGGGGGUAGAAUUCCAGGUGUAGCGGUGAAAUGCGUAGAGAUCUGGAGGAAUACCGGUGGCGAAGGCGGCCCCCUGGACAAAGACUGACGCUCAGGUGCGAAAGCGUGGGGAGCAAACAGGAUUAGAUACCCCGGUAGUCCC
rnacentral:rRNA from 1 species